ensembl:lncRNA
CACAAUCAGAAUUUACAGUCAUGGUUAGAGCUAAUAAUAACCAUGGCAGGAUAUGAGCAUUUGUGCCGUUUUAUUGUGGGAACUUGUUUUGUUUCUCUUCCUUUCUUUGCAGCUUCAUGUAGCCUGGUCGGUGAGAGCAAAUGCUUCUCCAUGCCUCCUAGGAGGCUUUGAAGACUAGGUCCAGUGUUUGGGAUGAUAAUCACUUGAAUUUUGGCUCCUUGCUACCAUGUCAUUGGAAGGUGGCAAGACCCUAGAGAAAAAAUGCCUUGGAUGGGAACCUGGAAUGUGGACCACCAUUAAAAUUAAGUUUAUGGAAAAGAAAGAAACGCAAAAAAUCCAUUUAUGUUCCCACAUUGACCCUUUGACAAUGAGAAAGUAUUCAAGAGAAUCCUACCAUCUUCCUAGACGACAAAACUGGAGCUGCUUCAGAGCUAUCUGUCAGCCUCUGCAGACUGGCACUCCUAGCUAAUCCCCAGGGCUCCCGGGGCCAGGGUGUCGGAGAAGGAGAGUGGUUGUUUGGCACCUGUUAUUGGGCAAGGAAUGAGAGAAUGAAUUGCUCGACUGGAGGAAGCACAGGGUGUUAGGAGAGCAAAUAGAGGGCAUGCUCCUCCCAGGCAUAAAACCAAAGAAGAUUGUCCAGAGGAUGCCUAAGCUGAGUUCAGAGGAUGGCCGAAAGUAAGAAUCAUCAACCAACCACUUCAGGUUUCUGGUUCCACAAGUAAGGUGCUUGGAAAUUGCCACUUGCUCCACUAUAACAAGUAAAAAGCUGAACAAACUGAAGAAGUGACAACUCUUAGAUUCAUAAGAGAUGUGAAGUCACAGGCCAUACUGCUGCGUCCAAAAUUAGAGAGACAGAAAGGUGAAUACAGAGAAUUCCAACUUAUCAGAGCAGAAUCUUGUGAGCAGAAACUCCUCUGUACUUAAAGGAUGCUCGAUGGGAACCAGGGCUGGGGUAGGAAAACCGGAGCUGUGAUUGACAGUUACUGGAUGCCCAGUGUGGACAAGUAUAUGCAAGAUAAGAGCUCCAGGGGAACCCAAUGUUACGGGGCCCAUACUCUUGUGAGAAUACUUCUAAAUUCAUUCUGUGAGGCCAGCAUUACCCUAAUAUCAAAACCAGACAAAUACAUUACAAGAAAGAAAACUGCAGACUGAUAUCUCUCAUGAGCAUAGACACAAAACUCCUCAACAAAAUACUAGUGAAUUGAACCCAAUAAUGUAUAAAAAGAAUUAUGUAUCACGACCAAGUGGGAUUUAUCGCAGGUAUGCAAUUCUGGUUCAACAUUUGAAAAUCAAGUAAUGUAAUCUAUCACGUCAACAGACUAAAGAAGAAAAUCUCAAGAUGAAAUCAAUAGAUGCAGAAAAACUAGUUGACAAAUCCAAUACCUACUCAUGAUAAAACUCACAGUGAACUAGGAAUGGAAGGGAACUUUCUCAGUCUGAUCAAGGAUAACAAUCUACAGCUAACAUCAUACUUAAUGGAGAAACUGGAAGCCUUCUCUUUAAGAUCAUGUACAAAGCAAGAAUGUUCCUUCUUACCAAUUAUUUUCAACUUAGUAUUGGAAGUCCUAGGUAAUGCAAUAAGAUGAGAAAAGGAAAUAAAAGGUAUACUGAUUGGGAAGGAAGAAAUAAAACUGUAUGCAAAUGACAUGAUCAUCUAUGUAGAAAAUCUGAAAGAACUGAUUAAAAAAACAAAAACACCUCCUGGUAAUAAUAAGAAAUUAGAACAAGGUUAAAAGACAUAGGUUACUAUACAAAAGUCAAUUGCUUUCCUAUAUACCAGCAAUAAACAAGCAGAAUUUGAAACUGAAAACACAGUACUACUUACAUUAGCAUCCCCCCAAAUGAAAAACUUAGGUAUAAAUCUAACAAUGUAUGUAUAAGAUUGAUGUAUAAGUUCUUCUAUAUAAUCUCUGAAGGGGUUACAUAACCAGGAAAAUACAUAAAAAACAUAAAUGAGUAUGCACUGAGACAUAGAACUUCAAAUACAGGAAGCAAAAGUUGACUGAAUGAAAGAGGUAGGUAAACAAUUCCACAAUCAUUGUUAGAGAUUUUAAUACCUCUUAUAUCAGCAAUUAAUCAUAGAAGAACUAGACA